rnacentral:misc_RNA from 1 species
ACAAGUUUGCAGCUGAUGCCAACAGCAAGAUGUCUCUCACAUGGCAGCAAAGGUUUUCAAAGCCAACCGGUUUGAAUAUCCAGAGAGUGAGAACAGCACAAGAAUAUAGAUCACUCCCUUUGAUUGCAAAUCUGCCGUUUGAAGCAUUUCAGUAUGCCCAAAAUGUCCAAUCAUGCGGUUGAAAUGUAUUGUGCAUAUAUGACAAGGGGUUAACAAAUUGAAAAUGGUGGAGGUGGUAGCUGUAGCGCUCUUAUGUGAUCUCCUCCCCAGUCUGUCGCAAUGAUGCCAAAGACGGUGGAAAGUAACCUACGCAACAAACUGUGUCACAGAAUCACCUUACUUUCAGAGCACAUGAUACUUUCUUCGUUGGACCACG